rfam:Myotis davidii contig204959, whole genome shotgun sequence.
GAGACACCCCUCCGGGGCAUGACUUGCUUCAAUGGGGCUUUGGUGCUCACUGGGUCUGCCCCCUGAGUGUGACUUU